rnacentral:rRNA from 1 species
UAGGGAAUCUUCGGCAAUGGACGAAAGCCUGACCGAGCAACGCCGCGUGAGUGAAGAAGGUUUUCGGAUCGUAAAACUCUGUUGUUAGAGAAGAACAAGGACGUUAGUAACUGAACGUCCCCUGACGGUAUCUAACCAGAAAGCCACGGCUAACUACGUGCCAGCAGCCGCGGUAAUACGUAGGUGGCAAGCGUUGUCCGGAUUUAUUGGGCGUAAAGCGAGCGCAGGCGGUUUCUUAAGUCUGAUGUGAAAGCCCCCGGCUCAACCGGGGAGGGUCAUUGGAAACUGGGAGACUUGAGUGCAGAAGAGGAGAGUGGAAUUCCAUGUGUAGCGGUGAAAUGCGUAGAUAUAUGGAGGAACACCAGUGGCGAAGGCGGCUCUCUGGUCUGUAACUGACGCUGAGGAUCGAAAGCGGGGGGAGCAAACAGG